rnacentral:piRNA from 1 species
UUUGUAAGCCAUAAAAUGGAG